UACGAAGGGGGCUAGCGUUGCUCGGAAUCACUGGGCGUAAAGCGCACGUAGGCGGCUUUCUAAGUCAGGGGUGAAAUCCUGGAGCUCAACUCCAGAACUGCCUUUGAUACUGGAGAGCUUGAGUCCGGGAGAGGUGAGUGGAACUCCGAGUGUAGAGGUGAAAUUCGUAGAUAUUCGGAAGAGCACCAGUGGCGAAGGCGGCUCACUGGCCCGGUACUGACGCUGAUGUGCGAAAGCGUGGGGAGCAAACAGG
rnacentral:rRNA from 1 species